ACUUUGUCGCUCAAACCUGCUAUCAAGCACAACCUGUGAGCAUUUUGGGUAUAUUUUGUUGUAAAUUAUACUCAAAGCAUAUGCAAAUAAGGGCAUAAAACACAUUAAAAUCCUACUUAUCAGUUACAUAAAUGCGCGCCUGAGUUUAAGAAGGUAGAUUUUAAAUAGCACGCCUAAAACAACUAUGCACUUUCAAGUUUGCGAGGGCCAUGGAAAAAUUCAACUAAUGGCAUACCUCGAUUCUAAAUUCAAAGGAUUGCAUUCAACUAAAACAAACUAUGAAUGUUCAUAUUUAAAAUUAAUUAGGUAUUACAACGACGCUACAAAAAUCGUAUCCAAAGUUAUGAUGAUUCACCUAUGCGUUUAAAAGUUUAUCUACCCACGUGUUAAUAUCUUAAAACAUACUCCAAUCAAUUAUAUAUACACGUACAUACAAAGAAUAAAGCAACAGAUAUCUCUUUUCUAAGGAUAUAAAUGAAACCUCAUGGCUUUCGCAGUAAAACAAGUAACAGACCUAAAUAUAACUUAAUUCAAUAUGUGAAUUAUAUGUACCAUCCAUCUUCUUUCUUUUUCUUUGCACCUAAUCCCAGCAGCCCCUUUGCAUUUUUGUUUCAAUUUCCUUAAGAAUGAAAUUAAUAUGAAUUUUCCAGCCUUAAUCACCAUUGAAUCUAGCCAUGCGAUCUCAUUACAAAAUCAAGCAAUUUCAAUUCAAAACAUCACAAGUUCAAAUUAAUUUAUCACUCAAAUAUUACAUAGCCAGAAUCAAGGAAUAUAAUAUAGGAUAGAAAUAAACCUUGAACGACACUUUAAUUAACCUUUGCCCAGAUGUGCGAACAUUUAGAAAAACACAGCGACAAACAACAAAUCGAAACCCACCCGAAUGCAGAAAUCGAACGACAACCUCACGUAAAUGGUGUAAAACUCAGAGAUGGCAGUGUGUUUAGGUUGGUGCGGGGAUCACGAGCGGAUUCCUAAUGACCGCUCUUCCUCUCGUCACUCUUUUCUCUAUGUCCAGAUGCGUACCGGUGGCAACGAUGGCUGCUGUAGCUGGGAGGGGUCUUAAGGUGUAUUUUCCGGCUGAAAAAUAGGAAGAAGAAGAAGCGACUAUGGGUGGCUAAGGUUCUGGUUCGAUUUCUGGCGUGGUGACAACGAUGAUGUUCAAAGGGGGCAGGGGUCGUGUAGUUGGUUUAUGCUGCUGAAAAAGAUGAGUAACGGGGUCGUUUCCUUGUUGAAAAGUUGCGCAAUUUUUUAUUUUUAUUUUCAGGCGUGUUUUCUUUUGUAUCCCCUUAGCCGAUAGGUCUUAGUCCUAUUAAAUAGAUCUAGAUUUAUAUUUUGUGUAUUUUAUCAAUUAG
rnacentral:lncRNA from 1 species